UACGUAGGGGGCAAGCGUUGUCCGGAUUUAUUGGGCGUAAAGAGCUCGUAGGUGGUUCGGUAAGUCGGAUGUGAAAUCUCCAGGCUCAACCUGGAGGGGUCAUUCGAUACUGCCGUGACUAGAGUUCGGUAGGGGAGUGUGGAAUUCCUGGUGGAGCGGUGAAAUGCGCAGAUAUCAGGGGGAACACCCGUAGCGAAGGCGGCACUCUGGGCCGAUACUGACACUGAGGAGCGAAAGCGUGGGGAGCGAACAGG
rnacentral:rRNA from 1 species